UACGUAGGGGCCUAGCGUUGUCCGGAUUUAUUGGGCGUAAAGAGCUCGUAGGCGGUUUGGUGAGUCGGGUGUGAAAUCUCCACGCUCAACGUGGAGGGGCCACCCGAUACUGCCAUGACUAGAGUCCGGUAGGGGAGUGUGGAACUCCCGGUGUAGCGGUGAAAUGCGCAGAUAUCGGGAGGAACACCAGUAGCGAAGGCGCUCUACUGGACCGCAACUGACACUCAGGGACGAAAGCUAGGGGAGCGAAUGGG
rnacentral:rRNA from 1 species